rnacentral:rRNA from 1 species
CCUACGGGGGGCUGCAGUGAGGAAUAUUGGUCAAUGGCCGGAAGGCUGAACCAGCCAUGCCGCGUGAAGGUCAGUGCCCUAUGGGCGUUAAACUUCUUUUGUGCGGGAGCAAUAAUGGUCACGUGUGGCCAGACGAGAGUACCGUACGAAUAAGCAUCGGCUAACUCCGUGCCAGCAGCCGCGGUUAUACGGGGGAUGCAAGCGUUAUCCGGAGUUAUUGGGUUUUAAGGGUGCGUAGGCGGGGAGGUAAGUCAGCGGUGAAAUGCCCCCGCUCAACGGGGUGAAGUGCCUUUGCUCCUGCCUUUCUGGAGUGCGGAUGCCGUGGGAGGAAUGUGUGGUGUAGCGGUGAAAUGCAUAGAUAUCACGCAGAACACCGAUUGCGAAGGCAGCUCACGAAUCCGCGAUUGACGCUGAUGCACGAAAGCGUGGGUAUCAAACAGGAUUAGAUACCCGAGUAGUC